rnacentral:rRNA from 1 species
UGUAAGAUNAGCNCUGGAUAUCUACGUGCCUGCAGCCGCGUUAAUGGUAGGGAGCUAGUGUUAAUNGGAUUGAUUGAGCGUAAAGCGUGCGCAGCUGGUGAUGUAAGCCANAGGUGAAAUCGAGGGUCUNCCCUUGGGAAGUGCUUCUGUGACUGUAUCGUUGGAGUGCGACAGAGGUGGAUGAAAUUCCUCGUGUAGCAGUGACAUGCGUAGAUAUGCGGAGGAUCACCGAUGAGGAAGUCNAUCCCUGGGGCCUGCACUGACGUUCAUGCAUGAGAGCGUGGGGAGCAACCAGGAUUAGAUUCCCUGGUAGUCCACGCCCUAAACGAUGUCAACUGGUUGUUGGGAAUUAGUUUUCUCAGUACCGAAGCUAACGCGUGAAGUUGACCGCCUGGGGAGUACGUCCCCAAGGUUGAACCUCAAAGGAAUUGCCGGGGACCCGCACAACCGGUGGAUGAUGUGGUUUAAUUAGAUGCAACGCGAAAACCCUUCCCCCCUUUUGCCAUGUCCGGAAUCCUUUAGAGAUAGAGGAGUGCUUGAAAGAGAGCCGUAACCCAGGUCCUGCAUGGCUGUCGUCAGUUCGUGUCGUGAGAUGUUGGGUUAAGUCCCGCAACGAGCGCAACCCUUGCCAUUAGUUGCUACGAAAGGGCACUCUAAUGGGACUGCCGGUGACAACCCGGAGGAAGGUGGGGAUGACGUCAAGUCCUCAUGGCCCUUAUAGGUGGGGCUACACACGUCAUACAAUGGCUGGUACAAAGGGUUGCCAACCCGCGAGGGGGAGCUAAUCCCAUAAAGCCAGUCGUAGUCCGGAUCGCAGUUUGCAACUCGCCUGCGUGAAGUCGGAAUCGCUAGUAAUCGUGGAUCAGCAUGUCCCGGUGAAUACGUUCCCGGGUCUUGUACACACCGCCCGU